GGUGAAAAGGGGAAAGGUUCAAUGUGAAUGGCACUAGCACAUGGGUUAGUCGAUCCUAUGGGUCGAGGAAACCCAAAUAGAUAAUGCGUUUCGCGCGUACCCCGAGAGGGAAUCGGGUUAAGAUUUCUAAACCGGGACGUGACGGUUGACGACAACGUUAGGAAGUCGGCAGAAGUCAGCAGGAGCCUCAGGAAGAGUUGUCUUUUCUGUUUAACAGCAUGCCCACCAUGGAAUCGGCUCUACCGGAGGUAGGGUCCAACGGUUGGAAGAGCACCACACGUCGCGUGGUGUCCGGUGCGCUCCCGGCGACCCUUUCAAAUCCAGAGGACCGAAUGUUGUCCACGCUCGAUCGUACUCAUAACCGCAUUAGGUCUCCAAAGUGAACAACCUCUAGUUGAUGGAACAAUGUAGGCAAGGAAAGUCGACAAAAUGGAUCCGUAACUUCGGGAAAAGAAUUGGCUUUGAGGGUUUGGCAUGGGUGUCCCAGUUCCGAACCCACUGGCUAUCGGUGGACUGCUUGAGCGGAUCCCACUGAAAUAGCGGGUCGCCGUGUGCCGGCUGGGGGACGGACUGGGAACGGUUCUUUCGGGGGCCUUCCCUGGUAGUCAAACAACCAACUCAGAACUGGUAUAGACAAGGGGAAUUUGAGUAUUUAAUUUUAACAAAGCAUUGCGAUGGUCCCAACAAAUGUUUACGCAAAGUUAUUUUUGUCCGGUGCUCUAAAUGUCAAAGUGAAGAAAUUCAACCAUGCGGGGGUAAACGGCCGGAGUAACUAUGACUCUCUUACUUAAGGUAGCCAAAUGCCUCGUCAUCUUAUUAAUGAUGCGUAUGAAUGUAUUAACAAGAUUCCCACUGUCUGUGUCUAAUAUACAGCGAAACCACAGCCAAGGGAACAGGCUUGGCAGAAUCAGCGGGGAAAGAAGACCCUAUUGAGCUUGAGUCUAGUCCGACUUUGUGAAAUGACUUCAGAGGUGUAGUAUAAUUGGGAGUUGAAAGGCGAAAGUGAAAUACCAAUACUUUUAACGUUAUUUUACUUAUUCCGUGAAUCAGAAGCGGGGAACUACCCUUAUUUUUGCACCCAAGGCUCGCUUCGCGGGCCGAUACUGGGAGAAGACAUUGUCAGGUGGGGAGUUUAGCUGGGGUGACACAUCUGUUAGAAGAUAACGCAGGUGUCCUAAGAUGAGCUCAACGAGAAUAGAAAAAUCAGUGGAUUAGAAGGAUAAAAGCUCGUUCGAUUCUGAUUUCCCGUACGAAUACGAAUCGUUAAAGCGUGGCCUAACGAUCCAUUAGACCUUAGGAAUUCUAAGAUAGAGGUGUCAGAAAAGUUACCACAAGGAUAACUAGCUUGUGGCAGCCAAGCUGUAUAGUGAAGUUUAUUUUUGAUCAUUCGAUGUCGGCACUUCCUAUCAUUCUGAAGCGAAAUUUACCAAGUGUUGGAUUGUUCACCCACCAAUAGGGAACGUGAGCUGGGUUUAGACCAUCGUGAGACAAGUUAGUUUUAGCCUACUGAUGACAGUGUCGCAAUAGUAAUUUAACCUAGUAAGUGAGGAACCGUUGAUUCACAUAAUUGGUCAUCGCGCUUGGUUGAAAAGCCAGUGGCGCGAAGCUGCCAUGUGUUGGAUUAUGAAUGAACGUCUCUAAGUUAGAAUCCAGGCAAGAAGCGACGCAUGCGCCCACCAUUCGCUUGCCGACCUGCAGUAGGGGCCAUUAUACCCC
rnacentral:ncRNA from 1 species